UACGUAGGGUGCAAGCGUUGUCCGGAAUUAUUGGGCGUAAAGAGCUCGUAGGCGGUCUGUCGCGUCGGAUGUGAAAAUCCAGGGCUCAACCCUGGACCUGCAUUCGAUACGGGCAGACUAGAGUUCGGCAGGGGAGACUGGAAUUCCUGGUGUAGCGGUGAAAUGCGCAGAUAUCAGGAGGAACACCGGUGGCGAAGGCGGGUCUCUGGGCCAACACUGACGCUCAGGCACGAAAGCGUGGGGAGCAAACAGG
rnacentral:rRNA from 1 species